UACGUAGGGUGCAAGCGUUGUCCGGAAUUAUUGGGCGUAAAGAGCUCGUAGGCGGUUUGUCGCGUCUGCUGUGAAAACUCGGGGCUUAACUCCGGGCCUGCAGUGGGUACGGGCAGACUAGAGUGCGGUAGGGGAGACUGGAAUUCCUGGUGUAGCGGUGAAAUGCGCAGAUAUCAGGAGGAACACCGGUGGCGAAAGCGGGUCUCUGGGCAGUUACUGACGCUGAGGAGCGAAAGCGUGGGGAGCGAACAGG
rnacentral:rRNA from 1 species